GGUUAAUGUAGGAAUUUUUAAAAUCUGUACUACAACACAAUGUUUAUCCACAAAUCAUUGAAUUAAGAAACAAUAGAAUCACACAAAAACAAGAUGAAAGUGGUGAAAAGUUCAAUAAGUGUUUAUAAAAAUGUUUAUUGUCCUGCAAGCUAUGUACAUAUCAGCAUGCAUGCAUAAAAAAUAAUAUAUAUUAAAAUUAUAUCAGAUUAUUUUUGACUGAUUUUUUUUACUAGCUACUUUUCACAUGUGUUUGUUUUUUGGAUUCCUAGAUUUAAUAACUAUUAAAGGAUGAAUGAAUCAGUGUGAGAGGGUAGUAUAUGUACAUGUAUGUAUGUGACAAAAACUGAAUAAUAAAUAUUAAAAAAAUAAUGAUAUAUAUUUAUUCAUGUAAUUAUGCAACUAUAAGAACCAUUAUGGGGGUGGGGGUGUGUGUUAAAGGUUGAUGUAUAUCAUUAAUUUCUUUAAAUUUAAGCUGAAUGGAUUAUAAAAUUAAGAUGGUUUAACAUGACACAAAAUCUGGUAAUUUAUUUGCAUGCACACAGGUACUAAAGUGUAUUAGUGUGACAUACAUGUAUAUACCAAUUACCAAAGCUUGAUAAUGAAUACGACGCCCAUUUCAUUACAGAUUUGGAAAAUAAUUAUAGUCAAAUCACCCCUACUGCAAGCCAAUUAUCAGACUAUCAAUCUCAGCUGAGUCCAAGAUAGGAAGAGGUUUUGGAGAGAACACAGAAUUACUACAGACAAAAGACUUGUGAAGUUAUAAGGGGAAUUGCAGAACUCAUAGCUCCACUUCAAUCUAGAUCUGUUGACAGUUAUUUCACAGAAACACUUUGCAGCUGACAAAGAUAAUCAAAUGAUGACCACUACUUUAACUCUAUGGUUGCAGCAUAUUUCAAUUUUUGAAGUGACAAAUUUUAUUCCUGUUUGUGAACCAAUAUUCAAAAGAAACACUGCUAUGGCAUUAGACAUAAAUUAGAAGAGAGUGGUGGGGUGACAAAAUACAGAUUCCAUACUGUGAAAUGUAUCAAUUGUUAAUAUACAUGUAUCAAUAUAAAUUCAGUGCCAAUUUUCAUAAUUUCUAGGGGAAAAGUUUGUUUGUAACAAAUGUCAGAAAUAUGCACUAGCUCUUUCUUUGCAAACCAUGCUACUAAGUACCAGGCAUUAAGACAUGAUUUGUUUAUUGUCAUUUGUUAAACAGAGACAGAUCCAGUGAUUUGAAAGGGGGGGGGUCCCAGAAAAAUGAUCUGAAAUCUGCAUUAGGUCAUAUCCGAUGAAUUGAUAAAGUAAAUAUGUUUAUUAUUGAUUGCUAGUUACAUGUAACCUUUUAUGCAUCAGUUAAAGAUACUUUAUGAACAUUUUCCGUCACUGGGUAAAAUUCAACAAACAUUUUGUGUAUCUGGAAGUGGUCAAUAUAUAUUUCAACAUCAGAGUAAACAUGCAUUAAAGCAAGUCUGCCAAUCUGAUGUAGGCAGAAAAUGGAAUAUGGCAUGUUAUUUCAUGAAUGCAAAGGGAAAUGCUUUACAAGAGAGUCAAAAAUUUUCUGGUUAAUGCUAAAUAAGUAUCUAGAUGUCCCAGAGAAAAGGAGAGGGUGUGUUCUACCCCCCCCCCCCCUCCCCCCCCCCUCGGGAUCUGCCAAUGUCAAGUUUGUAAUGUGAGUGAAUGAAUUAAGAUUCUUCAUGAUAGGCAAUUGAUUAAAAUUUGAUUUACUGAUAAUUUUAACUUCAUAUAUGUGUGUUAAUUAAUUGACUAUUAUCUCAAAUCCUGUGUCAGAAAUGACCUCUAAAAAUCAACAUUGUAAAAUUUUAUAUAAUGAAUUACAUAGGCAUUUUUUUGCCUUUAUUAUAUAGAAUGUAUACAAAGACAUGAAAUUUAUUUCUGAAUGUUCAUAUGUUCUAGUAAUUUUUCAUGAAUUUUAAUCAUUUAAUCAUUGAUUGGUUAUAUCUACUUCAUAUUUAUUUCUAUUUAUAUAGUUCAACAAUCUUCAUUUAAGUAGUUGACCUUUUUGCACUUAUUGAAAAUUUUGAGAUUUCAGUUCAACUUUUCACCAUCAAACCUUGCUUUUCCCACUGAAUUUAUUUUUGUAACUUGAAAUACACCUCUUCAAGUUUCUGGUUAUACAUAAUUUAUUUCUUUUGAGACAUUGUAUUGGGUUUUAUGAGAUCUUAAAUUUUGAUCAUUAUUUUGUAAAAUAUAUUGGUGUGAAAUAUGUGCAAUUUUAACAAUUAAUAAAUUCAUUCAUUGGAUGAAUAUACACACAAAAA